AUCACACCAGAUUUCUUCCCCGUCUCCGUCACCCGAACCCUCUCAACCCAUGGCACUCUCCGCCGCUCGCCGGCUCUCCUCCGCCGCCGGCGGCGACGCCGCGCGGCCUGGGACGCUCUCUUCCCUCUUCGCGCCUCGAAGCUCUCCGAAGCCUCGCGCCCCGCGGCCGGAGCCCGGGGAUGGGCCACCGCAGGAGCGGAGGAAGCCGAGGGCGAGGCCGAGGCCGAGGUCGAGGCAGCCGUGGGGGGAGGAGGCGGCGGCGCUGCUCCGGAGGUUCUACGACGGCGGGUACCUCCCGGGGCCUGACUUGUCGGUGGCGCCGCACGUCUUGUCCCCCGACGUCGUCAAGGGCGCGGCCGAGCGGUUCGGUCAUGAUCACCAGGUCGUCGCCAAAUGGUUAUCUGGAAGUGACUUGAAGAAGGUUGCGUUGUUUGGUUGUCCAUCUGUUGAGCGAAGAACAGUUUUUGCAUCAAAAAGACUACGAGCUUUCUUUAAAAUCCAGGAAGCUAAAAUAUGCGGCUCUUGUAAGAUGAGAAAUUCAUGCCAGUUUGUUAACCAGGAAGUAUCUAGGCAUGAUAAAGUGAUCCUGUCAGAUACUAUGAGAAUUCUUACUUUAUUCGUCCUGGAUACAUGUCCUCAGCAACUCAAGGUUACUCCUGAAUUGAAAGCUAGCAUUUGCAAGCUUGUCAAGGACACCAUAAACCUAAGCCAAUAAUUACUAAGCAGAUCAUUUGUAACUGUAGAAGGUACUUGAAGUAUACCAGAGAGGUGACCAAAUUUAUUUGGAUCAAAUGGAUGAAGCUCAUAUUUUGUUUGCAAAUACUACCUGAAGCAACUCAACCUGAUUGCACCGCAGAAGCAGAUGCGCUGAAGCUAAGAUGCAGUGGUUCACCCAGGAAUCUUGCAUCAGUCAGACUCCCCAUGUGAUGUUGUUUAGCUAGCUGUAAACCAUUUAGUUUGGACAAGGGAGAGGAACAGUUUGGCUUCAGACUAACUGGACUGCUUCUCUGCAUGGCACCUCUCUUGUAGAAUAAUCCAGGAUAGCUGGUCUCCUGAGGCGAGGUCGGUAGGUCACUUCAUCUAUGUGAUAAUGUGAACCCUUCCAUAUUGCCGCCUGAUGAGAACUGAAUCUUCUACGGAAGUGAUGCUCUACUCUCUACUCUGUUUUUUUUUCCUUUUGGUUUCUUUUCCCUAAUCUCUUGGACAGUUCAGUUUUGAUGGAUUCUUCUGGCCUCGUGUUGAUGAUCAAAGUAUUCAAGUCGUCGUCUCGUGCUGAUGGCUGCUUGCUUGAUUUUAAACUUCGGCUGAAACUCGGAGCCUCUUUCACAUUUGUCCGGUCAGCGAUUGCUUUUCUUCUCUCCCCCGGUUUGCCGCUUGCAUGGUAGUGCCUGCCACUAGUAAUCUAAUAGCAUAGGUCUUCUUGUUAACUUCUCUCACAUAAUAAGUCAAGUAGUAGUACUUCAGUUAAGCAAGAUUGAUCAUGUCAGAAAGCAUGCUAUUUGAACGUUUUGAAAGGUUGAAUCACAGGAGCGUGAUGCAUGCAUCUCACUGAUGCAGCAGAGAAUCAGGUUAUGUAAUUUUUUAUUCUCCUGGAAGAAGUGUAGAAAAGUCCACAAUCCUUCAGUUUUGAUCGUAA